rnacentral:lncRNA from 1 species
CAACUCUUGCCAAUCAUUUACCAAAUCCAAUGAUAUAAACACAAGAUAAUAUAAAUUGCAUUAAAACUUACAGUUAUAACUUAUUCAAUCACAUUGUUUAUUUUAUCAAUUCGCAAGAAUAAUUUAACAUGUCUUGACAUUAGCCUAAUAACCGAAAUCUUUCUAUUAUAACCGUUUACCACAAUCAACCAAUCAUUUUAAACCUCAUAAUAAACAUGCACAUUAAUUAUGAGUGUUCACUUUUCAAGCAUAUAUUCUAAC